AUUGAACGCUGGCGGCAGGCCGAACACAUGCAAGUCGAACGAGUGGCGGACGGGUGAGUAAUGUCUGGGAAACUGCCUGAUGGCGGGGGAUAACUACUGUAAACGGUAGCUAAUACCGCAUACCAUCGGAUGUGCCCCGAUGGGAUGAGCUAGUAGGUGGGGUAACGGCUCACCUAGGCGACGAUCCCUAGCUGGUCUGAGAGGAUGACCAGCCACACUGGAACUUAGACACGGUCCAGACUCCUACGGUAGGCAGCAGUGGGGAAUAUUGUAAAAUGGGCGCAAGCCUGAUGCAGCCAUGCCGAGUGUAUGAAGAAGGUCUUCGGAUUGUAAAGCACUUUAAGUUGGGAGGCGUUACCAACAGAAUAAGCACCGGCUAACUUCGUGCCAGCAGCCGCGGUAAUAC
rnacentral:rRNA from 1 species